GCCAGCGGCAAUAACUCAUUGAAUACAACAGUUUCCAAUGGAUUACUGAAGUUAAGCAACGUUGCGCGUGGUUAGUAUCCGCAUGGGGGGACUAUAUGGGAAAUCACGCACUGCUGGCU
rfam:Asian citrus Psyllid, Diaphorina citri - Florida Strain, whole genome shotgun sequence.